rnacentral:rRNA from 1 species
CAGCAGCCGCGGUAAUACAGAGGAUGCAAGCGUUAUCCGGAAUGAUUGGGCGUAAAGCGUCUGUAGGUGGCUUUUCAAGUCCGCCGUCAAAUCCCAGGGCUCAACCCUGGACAGGCGGUGGAAACUACCAAGCUGGAGUACGGUAGGGGCAGAGGGAAUUUCCAGUGGAGCGGUGAAAUGCGUUGAGAUCGAAAAGAACACCAACAGCGAAAGCACUCUGCUGGGACGACACUGACACUAAGAGACGAAAGCUAGGGGAGCAAAUGGGAUUAGAUACCCCUGUGUCCCUGUCUCUUAUACA